GGAACAGGAAGCGACCUCAAGUACUACCAAUUCCCGAAAAAAUUCUUUUCAAAUGUUGAUAUAUUCUGAGUGCUCGGCAGCUGGAUCUCGACGACAACACCAUCAACAGGCAGGGCAGAGCACAAAGGCACAAAGCGAGAGGAAGGAGGCAGUGAGAGGGACACAUUGUCAUGUUUCUCCCUCGCCCAUGAUGGUGGCAGCUCGCAUUGUGGAGGAAAUAUCGACCACGAAUCAAUGGUCUGACAUCCUUAUCACCUCUGCUGGGCCUCAUAGUACGUGGCAAUGUCUCAUUCUUUCAGCGAGGGCUGCUUCUGGGGCUGCAAUGAGAAGAGACUGAAAGGACGUGUGAUGGGGACUGUGAUGGAAUAAGACUGCUACAGAAGGAAAAUGGAGGGACCAGUCCGACUUUCACUCUACGUGUCGUCCUCUCCUUCGCCUUCCACAGCGACUUUACGAGGGUGGGCCGACGCGACGGAUGGGGGCACGUGGCCUUCACGCGAGGUCACGUGGCCACAAUAACGAGGCCCCGCGUUGGCUGAGGUGGACCUGCCGAACUGGGCGAACGGCACCCGAUGGCGUUGGGUAACGACUGGUGCAGGAGGAGAUGAUGUGUUGGGUAGGUGACGAUGCUAUUGAUCGGAAGAAGACUU